rnacentral:rRNA from 1 species
UACGGAGGGUGCAAGCGUUAUCCGGAUUCACUGGGUUUAAAGGGAGCGUAGGUGGCUUUGUAAGUCAGUGGUGAAAUAUUGCGGCUCAACCGCAAAACUGCCAUUGAUACUGCUUAGCUUGAAUCACGUCGAGGUGGAUGGAAUAAUACAUGUAGCGGUGAAAUGCUUAGAUAUGUAUUAGAACACCGAUUGCGAAGGCAGUUCACUAGGCGUGUAUUGACACUGAGGCUCGAAGGCGUGGGGAUCAAACAGG